CAAUCUUCAGGUCUCCCAGGCAUUGAUGCCAGCACCUGGCUAUGGUGGAGAUGGCAGCUCUCAUUUCUGCCUGAAGUUGAGACAAUUCUGAAAAGCCACCUCAGGUCCAGAGCACUCCAUAAGACAAGUUACAGGGCAUUGACUCUCUGGAUCUGAAGAAGGCACCCAUCCCUGCUAAACUAUGGAGUCUCACCCUGUCCCCCAGGCUGGAGUGCAGUGGCAUGAUCUCAGCUUACUGCAACCUCCACCACCUCAGUUCAACUGAUUCUCCUGCCUCAGCCUCCUGAGUAGAUGGGAUUACAGGCAACCACCACCACGCCUGGCUAAUUUUUGUAUUUUCAGUAGAGACAGGGUUUCGCCACUUUGGCCAGGCUGGCUCGAACUCCUGACCUCAGAUGAUCUGCCUGUCUCAGCCUCCCAAAGUGCUAGGAUUGCAGGUAUGAGCCACCACACCCGGCCUUCAGUAUACAUUUAUAAACACAAUUUGAGUCAUAUUUCUCUCUCUCUCUCUGUGCCUAAUUGCCCCAGAAUUAAAAACUAUUUGUGAAUAUUCAUAAUUCAUAGCAAUAUAUUUGUUUGCAUACGUUUAAUAAGAAACUGUUUCUUUUAUAAUGAGACUCAGUUAAGAGACCUGGUUAUUUUUCCAGAGCUUAGGCUAAAGUGACGCUGUGAAAGGUUCCAGCAAAAUCAGUUCAGGAAAACCUAAAUGGGCAAUUCUUGUACUCUGAGUGAGCAAUCAGGCCAAGUAUACGGUACUGAUGCUGUUUUGCAGGUGGAUUGGUCCUGCUGUGAUUUGUUUUUGGUGGAAGUAGGGGAUCAGAGAGAAACAUUGUGUUUCAGAAGAAAAUUCUAGCAUUAGAUUAACUUUUGAUUCCUGGAUAGCCACAUGGUCACCCAUUGUAUGGAGCUCCCUAUGAUAGUCCUCCUCAGCAUGAAGCAGUCAGGAAGAUUGAUGACCAGAUUCCCCAUGCUGGAGUGCAGUGGUGAGAUCUUGGCUCACUGCAAGCUCUGCCUCCCGGGUUCACACCAUUCUCCUGCCUCAGCCUCCUGAGCAUCUGGGACUACA
rnacentral:lncRNA from 1 species